rnacentral:misc_RNA from 1 species
AUUCCUAGCAAAUUAUCCUUCCAAAAACCAUGGCUUGCUAGAGGCUAAUACGAGGAAACCCAAGUAGCCGACCAGAAGUGAUAAAUGGACAAGACAUUCCGAAGCGCAAAAAGCACCCACAUAGAUCAAUCCCAUGAGUCUUGAUAUAUACGUAUAGUUGUGAAGUUGAACAAAAUCAAGAGGUUUUGAAUUCAAAAUGUACUAGUGAAUGAAG